rnacentral:rRNA from 1 species
CUGGAGGUAUCAGAAGUGCGAAUGCUGACAUAAGUAACGAUAAAGCGGGUGAAAAGCCCGCUCGCCGGAAGACCAAGGGUUCCUGUCCAACGUUAAUCGGGGCAGGGUGAGUCGACCCCUAAGGCGAGGCCGAAAGGCGUAGUCGAUGGGAAACGGGUUAAUAUUCCCGUACUUGGUGUUACUGCGAAGGGGGGACGGAGAAGGCUAUGUUGGCCGGGCGACGGUUGUCCCGGUUUAAGCGUGUAGGUGUGUGUUCCAGGUAAAUCCGGUUCACUUUAACACUGAGGCGUGAUGACGAGGCACUACGGUGCUGAAGCAACAAAUGCCCUGCUUCCAGGAAAAGCCUCUAAGCAUCAGGUAACAUCAAAUCGUACCCCAAACCGACACAGGUGGUCAGGUAGAGAAUACCAAGGCGCUUGAGAGAACUCGGGUGAAGGAACUAGGCAAAAUGGUGCCGUAACUUCGGGAGAAGGCACGCUGACACGUAGGUGAAGUGAUUUACUCAUGGAGCUGAAGUCAGUCGAAGAUACCAGCUGGCUGCAACUGUUUAUUAAAAACACAGCACUGUGCAAACACGAAAGUGGACGUAUACGGUGUGACGCCUGCCCGGUGCCGGAAGGUUAAUUGAUGGGGUCAGCGCAAGCGAAGCUCCUGAUCGAAGCCCCGGUAAACGGCGGCCGUAACUAUAACGGUCCUAAGGUAGCGAAAUUCCUUGUCGGGUAAGUUCCGACCUGCACGAAUGGCGUAAUGAUGGCCAGGCUGUCUCCACCCGAGACUCAGUGAAAUUGAACUCGCUGUGAAGAUGCAGUGUACCCGCGGCAAGACGGAAAGACCCCGUGAACCUUUACUAUAGCUUGACACUGAACAUUGAGCCUUGAUGUGUAGGAUAGGUGGGAGGCUUUGAAGUGUGGACGCCAGUCUGCAUGGAGCCGGCCUUGAAAUACCACCCUUUAAUGUUUGAUGUUCUAACGUGGACCCGUGAUCCGGGUUGCGGACAGUGUCUGGUGGGUAGUUUGACUGGGGCGGUCUCCUCCUAAAGAGUAACGGAGGAGCACGAAGGUUGGCUAAUCCUGGUCGGACAUCAGGAGGUUAGUGCAAUGGCAUAAGCCAGCUUGACUGCGAGCGUGACGGCGCGAGCAGGUGCGAAAGCAGGUCAUAGUGAUCCGGUGGUUCUGAAUGGAAGGGCCAUCGCUCAACGGAUAAAAGGUACUCCGGGGAUAACAGGCUGAUACCGCCCAAGAGUUCAUAUCGACGGCGGUGUUUGGCACCUCGAUGUCGGCUCAUCACAUCCUGGGGCUGAAGUAGGUCCCAAGGGUAUGGCUGUUCGCCAUUUAAAGUGGUACGCGAGCUGGGUUUAGAACGUCGUGAGACAGUUCGGUCCCUAUCUGCCGUGGGCGCUGGAGAACUGAGGGGGGCUGCUCCUAGUACGAGAGGACCGGAGUGGACGCAUCACUGGUGUUCGGGUUGUCAUGCCAAUGGCACUGCCCGGUAGCUAAAUGCGGAAGAGAUAAGUGCUGAAAGCAUCUAAGCACGAAACUUGCCCCGAGAU